rnacentral:rRNA from 1 species
GACAGAGGGUGCAAACGUUGUUCGGAAUUACUGGGCGUAAAGCGCGUGUAGGCUGCUCUGCAAGUCGGAUGUGAAAGCCCUGGGCUCAACCUAGGAAGUGCAUUGGAAACUGGGGAACUUGAAUACGGGAGAGGGUAGUGGAAUUCCUGGUGUAGGAGUGAAAUCCGUAGAUAUCAGGAGGAACACCGGUGGCGAAGGCGGCUACCUGGACCGAUAUUGACGCUGAGACGCGAAAGCGUGGGGAGCGAACAGG